AUUGAACUCUGGCGGCAGGCCUAACACAUGCCAGUCGAGCGUAGCGUCGGACGGGGGAGUAAUGCCUAGGAAUCUGCCUGGUAUUGGUGGAUAACGUCCGGAGACGGUCGCUACUACCGCAUACUCUCAUCGGAUCCUAGGUGGGAUUGUCUAGUUGGUGGGGUAAAGGCCUACCAAGGCGACGAUCCUUAACUGGUCUGAGAGGAUGAUCAAUCACACUGGAACUGAGACACGGCCCAGACUCCUACGGGAGGCAGCAGUGGGGAAUAUUGGACAAUGGGCGAAAGCCUGACCCAGCAAUGCCGCGUGAGUGAAGAAGGUUUUCGGAUUGUAAAGCACUGUAAGUAGGGAGGCGGUACCAAACGAAUAAGCAACGGCUAACUACGUGCCAGCAGCCGCGGUAAUUC
rnacentral:rRNA from 1 species